CCCCUCACAGGGUUGUACCUGGAGAAUUUCCAGUACUUUACCAGUAUCGACUAUGAGAGGGAGAGCCAAGCAGAGGCAUACUCAUUCCAUUCCUAGCUUAGGUAGCGGCUAGUGAGUGGAAGGCAAUCCGCUACAAGU